AUGGGAUUUGACUUCAACUGGAUUUUCAUGUUGGUCAUUUUCCAAGGUAUCCAGUGUGAUGCUCAACUCAUUGAGUCUGGAGGAGAUGUGAGACACCCUGGGGGAUCUCUGCAACUGUCCUGUAAAGCUUCUGGAUUCUCUAUCAGCAGUUACUGGAUGAUCUGGGUCUGCCAGGCUCCAGGAAAGGGACUGGAGAGUGUCUCAAGUACUUAUGGAAGCAGCGUUUACUACGCGGAUUCAGUGAAAGGCAGAUUCACCACCUCCAGUGAUACUGUCAACAACAUGCUGAUUCUGCAAAUGAAUUCUCUUAAAACUGAAGACACAGCUAUGUAUUACUGUUCAAGAGGCACAGUGAAGGAAGAGAAUAUGAAACCAGACACAAAUGUGAUGCUUGAAGGGAAUGAUUUAGAGUUCCAGAACAGAGCACAAGAAGGCUAG